rnacentral:rRNA from 1 species
UUGAACGCUGGCGGCAUGCUUUACACAUGCAAGUCGAACGGUAGCAGGCCGCAAGGUGCUGACGAGUGGCGAACGGGUGAGUAAUGCAUCGGAACGUGCCCAGUCGUGGGGGAUAACUACUCGAAAGAGUAGCUAAUACCGCAUACGAUCUAUGGAUGAAAGCGGGGGACCGUAAGGCCUCGCGCGAUUGGAGCGGCCGAUGUCAGAUUAGGUAGUUGGUGGGGUAAAGGCUCACCAAGCCAACGAUCUGUAGCUGGUCUGAGAGGACGACCAGCCACACUGGGACUGAGACACGGCCCAGACUCCUACGGGAGGCAGCAGUGGGGAAUUUUGGACAAUGGGCGCAAGCCUGAUCCAGCAAUGCCGCGUGCAGGAAGAAGGCCUUCGGGUUGUAAACUGCUUUUGUACGGAACGAAACGGCUCUGGUUAAUACCCGGGGCUAAUGACGGUACCGUAAGAAUAAGCACCGGCUAACUACGUG